GAUGAACGCUGGCGGCGUGCCUAAUACAUGCAAGUCGAGCGAACAGACGAGGAGCUUGCUCCUCUGACGUUAGCGGCGGACGGGUGAGUAACACGUGGAUAACCUACCUAUAAGACUGGGAUAACUUCGGGAAACCGGAGCUAAUACCGGAUAACAUGUUGAACCGCAUGGUUCAACAGUGGAAGACGGUCUUGCUGUCACUUAUAGAUGGAUCCGCGCCGCAUUAGCUAGUUGGUAAGGUAACGGCUUACCAAGGCAACGAUGCGUAGCCGACCUGAGAGGGUGAUCGGCCACACUGGAACUGAGACACGGUCCAGACUCCUACGGGAGGCAGCAGUAGGGAAUCUUCCGCAAUGGGCGAAAUCCUGACGGAGCAACGCCGCGUGAGUGAAGAAGGUCUUCGGAUCGUAAAACUCUGUUAUUAGGGAAGAACAAAUGUGUAAGUAACUAUGCACGUCUUGACGGUACCUAAUCAGAAAGCCACGGCUAACUACGUG
rnacentral:rRNA from 1 species